rnacentral:snoRNA from 1 species
CUUUAUUGAUGAUCUCUCAUUUGUGCCACUGUGUCUGGGUCAUAGAAGCCUUGUGGACCCUAAGAG